AUGAUUUGUAGGCUGCAAUGCCUUGUGUGAGCAUAUCACUGAAAAUUGGAAAGCUAUAGAGGCAUGGUUGAUAAUGGUAGUAAAGAAGCAACAUAAAAUGUGGUGAAAUUAAUUUAAGCAGUAAAUUUGUAUAAACAAUUCUGUCAAUGGAGCUGUCGCUAUGCUGCCAUUGGUCAAGAAGGUGACGUUUAUGCCCAUGUGAUAUAAGUUGGUGACUUUUACUUAGCAAUAUUUGAGCUGAAGUCUAGUGACAUGCGGCAUUAAAUAGAACAUUGCUACAACCACUCUAAGAAAUGGAUACUCAAUGACUCAGCACCAAUCCAACCCAGUUGGUGUCACGCUAAGAAAUAGACAUACAGUUAAAAUUCAGAAUGGACCUAAUACUAGUAAGUAUUACCUUAAGUUGAUUGGUCGACAAAAA
rnacentral:misc_RNA from 1 species